rnacentral:rRNA from 1 species
AAUGAACGCUGGCGGCGUGCUUAACACAUGCAAGUCGAACGGAAAGGCCCUUGCUUGCUGGGCUACUCGAGUGGCGAACGGGUGAGUAACACGUGUGUGAUCUGCCCUGCACUUCGGGAUAAGCCUAGGAAACUGGGCCUAAUACCGGAUAGGAUCACACUUUCGAUGGUGUGGUGGAGAGCUUUUCGGCGUGGGAUGUGGUAGCGGCCGAUCAGGUCGUUGGUGGGGUAAUGGCCUACCGAGGCGUAGAGGGGGAGCCGGCCCACGAGGGGGGAGGGCCAGAUUGGACUCGUGAGAGGGGCAAGAGUCCGGAGUGAGGCAGCAGGGGGGAAUGCUGCAUCAAGGGCGAAAGCCUGAGGGAGGAAGGCCGCCUGGGGGAUGAGGGCUUUCGGGGUGAAAGAAACUUAGCCUGGUAACGACGCGUUGUUGUGACGGUACCUGGAGAAGAAGCACCGGCUAACUACGUG